UACAGAGGUCUCAAGCGUUGUUCGGAUUCAUUGGGCGUAAAAGGGUGCGUAGGUGGCGCGCUAAGUCAGGUGUGAAAUUUCGGAGCUUAACUCCGAAACUGCAUUUGAUACUGGCGUGCUUGAGGACUGGAGAGGAGACUGGAAUUCAUGGUGUAGCAGUGAAAUGCGUAGAGAUCAUGAGGAAGACCAGUGGCGAAGGCGGGUCUCUGGACAGUUCCUGACACUGAGGCACGAAGGCCAGGGGAGCAAACGGG
rnacentral:rRNA from 1 species